rnacentral:rRNA from 1 species
GUAGUAACAGAGGGUUUGAUCAUGGCUCAGAUUGAACGCUAGCGCGGAUGCCUUACACAUGCAAGUCGAACGGCAGCACGACUUCGGUCUGGUGGCGAGUGGCGAACGGGUGAGUAAUGUAUCGGAACGUGCCUAGUAGCGGGGGAUAACUACGAAAGCGUAGCUAAUACCGUACUUACUGCCCUCGGGGGAAAGCGGGGACCUUUCGGGCCUCGCACUAUUAGAGCGGCCGAUAUCGGAUUACUGAAGUUGGUGGGGUAACGGCUCACCAUGACGAUCCGUAGCUGGUUUGAGAGGACGACCAGCCACACUGGGACUGAGACACGGCCCAGACUCCUACGGGAGUGCAGCAGUGGGGAAUUUCCUUGGACAAUGGGGAAACUCGAUCCAGCCAUCCUGCUGGCAGACAAGGCCUUCGGGUUGUAAAGCACUUUUGGCAGGAAGAAACGGCACGGGAUAAUACCCCGUGCAACUGACGGUACCUGCAGAAUAAUAAGCACCGGCUAACUACGCCAGCAGCCGCGGUAAUACGUAGGGUGCAAGCGUUAAUCGGAAUUACUGGGCGUAAAAAGCGUGCGCAGGCGGUUCGGAAAGAAAGAUGUGAAAUCCCGUGAGCUUAACUUUUGGAACUGCAUUUUUAACUACCGAGCUAGAGUGUGUCAGAGGGAGGUGGAAUUCCGCGUGUAGCAGUGGAAUGCGUAGAUAUGCGGAGGAACACCGAUGGCGAAGGCAGCCUCCUGGGAUAACACUUGAUGCUCAUGCACGAAAGCGGGGAGCAAACAGGAUUAGAUACCCUGGUAGUCCACGCCCUAAACGAUGUCAACUAGCCGUUGGGGCCUUCGGGCCUUCGGUAGCGCAGCUAACGGGGCGGUGAAGUUGACCGCCUGGGGAGUACGGUCGCAAGAUUAAAACUCAAAGGAAUUGACGGGGACCCGCACAAGCGGUGGAUGAUGUGGAUUAAUUCGAUGCACCGCGAAAACCUUACCUACCCUUGACAUGUCUGGAAUCCCGAAGAGAUUUGGGAGUGCUCGCAAGAGAACCGAACACAGGCGCUGGGCAUGGCUGUCGUCAGCUCGUGUCGUGAGAUGUUGCUGGUCUCGCAACGAGCGCAACCCUUGUCAUUAGUUGCUACGAAAGGGCACUCUCAAUGAGACUGCCGGUGACAAACCGAGGAAGGUGGGGAUGACGUCAAGUCCUCAUGGCCCCUUAUGGGUAGGGCUUCACACGUCAUACAAUGGUCGGGACAGAGGUCGCCAACCCGCGAGGGGAGCCAAAUCCCAGAAACCCGAUCGUAGUCCGGAUCGCAGUCUGCAACUCGACUGCGUGAAGUCGGAAUCGCUAGUAAUCGCGGAUCAGCAUGUCGCGGUGAAUACGUUCCCGGUCUUGUACACACCGCCCGUCACACCAUGGGAGUGGGUUUUACCAGAAGUAUUAGCCUAACCGUAAGGAGGGCGAUUACCACGGUAGGAUUCAUGACUUCAGUGAAGUCGUAACAAGCGUAA